rnacentral:pre_miRNA from 1 species
AAUGGAAUUGCUGGGUAAAAAGGUAACUCCAUGUUUAAUUUUUUGAGUAUUUGCCAAACUGUUUUCCAAAGUGGCUGUACUAUUUUACGUUCCCAUGGGCAAU